rnacentral:rRNA from 2 species
UGGGGGAUAUUGCACAAUGGGGGAAACCCUGAUGCAGCAACGCCGCGUGAGGGAUGAAGGUUUUCGGAUUGUAAACCUCUGUCCUUAGGGAAGAAACAAAUGACGGUACCUAAGGAGGAAGCUCCGGCUAACUACGUGCCAGCAGCCGCGGUAAUACGUAGGGAGCGAGCGUUGUCCGGAAUUAUUGGGUGUAAAGGGUGCGUAGGCGGCUAUGUAAGUUAGACGUGUAAUUCAGAGGCUUAACCUCUUGAAUGCGUUUAAAACUGUGUAGCUUGAGUGGAGUAGAGGCAGAUGGAAUUUCCAGUGUAGCGGUGAAAUGCGUAGAUAUUGGAAGGAACACCGGUGGCGAAGGCGAUCUGCUGGGCUCUAACUGACGCUGAGGCACGAAAGCAUGGGGAGCAAACAGG